rnacentral:rRNA from 1 species
CAAUAGCGUAUAUUAAAGUUGUUGCAGUUAAAAAGCUCGUAGUCGGAUUUCGGGUCGGGCCGAGCGGUCUGCCGAUGGGUAUGCACUGUUUGGCGCGGCCUUCUUUCCGGAGACCGCGGCUACUCUUAACUGAGCGGGCGUGGGAGACGGAUCGUUUACUUUGAAAAAAUCAGAGUGUUUCUAGCAGGCAGCUCGCUCUUGCAUAGGUUAGCAUGGGAUAAUUUAAUAGGACUCUGGUGCUAUUUUGUUGGUUUUCGGAACUUGAGGUAAUGAUUAAGAGGGACAGACGGGGGCAUUCGUAUUACGGUGUUAGAGGUGAAAUUCUUGGAUCGCCGUAAGACGAACUACUGCGAAAGCAUUUGCCAAGAAUGUUUUCAUUAAUCAAGAUCGAAAGUCAGAGGUUCGAAGAUGAUCAGAU